AGGACGCGUCCUUCGGGAAGCGAGCGUACACAGGUGGCUGCAUGGCUGUCGUCAGCUCGUGUCGUGAGAUGUUGGGUUAAGGUCCCGCAACGAGCGCAACCCCUGCAUUCAGUUGCCAUCGGGUAAUGCCGGGCACUCUGGAAGGACUGCCAUCGACAAGAUGGAGGAAGGUGGGGAGUGACGUCAAGUCAUCAUGGCCCUUAUGUCCAGGGCGACACACGUGCUACAAUGGCCGGCACAACGGGAAGCGAGUUCGCGAGGACGAGCGGAUCCCUCAAAGCCGGUCGCAGUUCGGAUUGAAGUCUGCAACUCGACUUCAUGAAGCUGGAAUCGCUAGUAAUCGUGGAUCAGCCAAGCCGCGGUGAAUACGUUCCCGGGCCUU
rnacentral:rRNA from 1 species